rnacentral:rRNA from 1 species
UACGUAGGGGGCAAGCGUUGUCCGGAUUUACUGGGCGUAAAGGGCGCGUAGGCGGCGUGGUAAGUCAGUUGUGAAAUCUCCGAGCUUAACUCGGAACGGCCAACUGAUACUGCUGUGCUAGAGUGCAGAAGGGGCAAUCAGAAUUCUUGGUGUAGCGGUGAAAUGCGUAGAUAUCAAGAGGAAUACCUGAGGUGAAGACGGGUUGCUAGGCUGACACUGACGCUGAGGCGCGAAAGCCAGGGGAGCAAACGGG